AGUUGUAAUUUUUUAAAUAGUUAUGAUCGUCUUUGUUGUAAAUAUAAUUCAUUCGAUCGUCAAAAGCAUUGCCUUAAUUGUGUUAAUUAUCAAUCGAGUGAAAUAAAUCUUAUAAAUUUACAAUUCAUAGGAAUAUGUUCACGAUCCAAUGUGAUUGUUUCUAUUUUCUCGAAUAUAUUAUUUUUAGGAUCAGAAGUAAGUAAUAGUUAUUUAUUACGUAUGCAUAAUUAUCCAGUACAACCCUAUAAAGAUUUUAUACCAAUUGAGCCUAACAAUUCACAUAGUGAUGAAGAUAUAGCAUCUGAUAAAGAAUUUAUUAAAAAAAACCCUCGUUCACCUGUUGGCGACUUGAGUACAAAACAUACCAGUUACACUACUAUAACUACUAAGAAUUUUAAUAAUAAUGAUAGCAGUAUUGAUAACAGUAUUGAUACCAGUAAUGAUAUCAGUAAUGAUAAUAAUAAUGUAGGUGAUUUUUUUCAAAUGAAAAAAAAAAUGCAAAAAAGUUUUAACAGUGGAUUAGAAGGGGUUACUCCCGUCACUACUAUUAAUAGCAAUAACAACGCAAGUAGCUAUAACAACGCAAGUAGCUAUAACAACGCAAGUAGCUAUAACAACGCAAGUAGCUAUAAUAACACAAGUAGCUAUAACAACGCAAGUAGCUAUAAUAACACAAGUAGCUAUAACAACGCAAGUAGCUAUAACAACACAAGCAGCUAUAAUAACACAAGCAGCUAUAAUAACGAAAACAAUGCUAUCCACCCAAAUACAAUCGAUAAAAGCCAUACUGACUGGUUACUAAAUAAUUAUGUAAAUAAACCAAAUCGAAAUUUAAUUAACGAGCAUGGAAAGUGUUUGAAUAAAAGUGAAGUCGUAAAAACUGGAGAACAUACUAAUUAUACAUACGUGGAUAUUAAAAACGGGUUAAACGUUGAUAUGUUACAACAAACAAGUGACAUAACUAACAUAAAUAUAAACAAUAACAUUAAUGUUAAUACUACAAACGAAGAGGUUAAUAAUUUAAUUGUUAAGCAGAAAAUGGAACAGUCU
rnacentral:lncRNA from 1 species